rnacentral:rRNA from 1 species
CAGUAGCGUAUAUUAAAGCUGUUGCGGUUAAAAAGCUCGUAGUUGGAUUUCUGUCAAGGACAACUGGUCCGCCCCUCGGGUGAGCACAUAGUUUGGUCUUGGCAUCUUGUUGGAAACUGUUGCUGCACUUGGUUGUGUGGCGCAGUGUCCAGCACUUUCACUUUGAGGAAAUUGGAGUGUUUCAAGCAGGCACAUGCCUUUGGACACAGUAGCAUGGAAUAAUUAGAUUGGGCUUUUGCUCCAACUUGUCGGUUUCUGGAGCUGAGGUGAGAAUUAAUGGGGAUUGUUGGGGGCAUCCGAAUUUAGCCGUCAGAGGUGAAAUUCUUGGAUCUGCUAAAGACGGACAACUGCGAAAGCGUUUGCCCAGGAUGUUUUCAUUGA